GAAAUGCGAUAAGUAAUGUGAAUUGCAGAAUUCAGUGAAUCAUCGAAUCUUUGAACGCACAUUGCGCCCGCCAGUAUUCUGGCGGGCAUGCCUGUUCGAGCGUCAUUUCAACCAUCAAGCCCCUGGCUUGUGUUGGGGACCUGCGGCUGCCCGCAGGCCCUGAAAAACAGUGGCGGGCUCGCUGUCACACCGAGCGUAGUAGCAUACAUUCUCGCUCAGGGCGUGCUGCGGGUUCCGGCCGUUAAACGACCUUCAUAACCCAAGGUUGACCUCGGAUCAGGUAGGAAGACCCGCUGACCUUAAGC
rnacentral:misc_RNA from 1 species